CAUGAAACACUGCUGGUGCUUCCAUUUGCGAUUGUUCUGUCUUCACCCAAUAAGCAGAAAUGAAAAGAGAAUGCAAGAAACCAGAAUACUGGAAAUUAUGAGGUGAAUUUUGCCAGCUUCUGAACAAUGUGAGCAUGGAUGAGUCUAAAGAAAAAAAUAUGGAGAGAUCAGAAAACUGAGAUUGAGAACAUUGAGAAGAAAGGCUCAAUUUUGCACCCAGUGUUGGACUGUUGAGACAAGAUUUUCAUUGGGUUACAAAUUCGAUGGCUGGAAAAGAAUAAUUGAAGCAAAUGGCAGCUUUGUACUGAUUCCCGGAGAAUGCAAUGU